AGAUGAGCAUGCGUCCCAUUAGCUAGUUGGUAAGGUAACGGCUUACCAAGGCAACGAUGGGUAGGGGUCCUGAGAGGGAGAUCCCCCACACUGGUACUGAGACACGGACCAGACUCCUACGGGAGGCAGCAGUGAGGAAUAUUGGUCAAUGGGCGCAAGCCUGAACCAGCCAUGCCGCGUGCAGGAUGACGGUCCUAUGGAUUGUAAACUGCUUUUGCACAGGAAGAAACACUCGGUCGUGACCGAGCUUGACGGUACUGUGAGAAUAAGGAUCGGCUAACUCCGUGCCAGCAGCCGCGGUAAUACGGAGGAUCCAAGCGUUAUCCGGAAUCAUUGGGUUUAAAGGGUCCGUAGGCGGCCAGAUAAGUCAGUGGUGAAAGCCCAUCGCUCAACGAUGGAACGGCCAUUGAUACUGUUUGGCUUGAAUUAUUUGGAAGUAACUAGAAUAUGUAGUGUAGCGGUGAAAUGCUUAGAGAUUACAUGGAAUACCAAUUGCGAAGGCAGGUUACUACAAAUUGAUUGACGCUGAUGGACGAAAGCGUGGGUAGCGAACAGGAUUAGAUACCCUGGUAGUCCACGCCGUAAACGAUGGAUACUAGCUGUGAGCAAUCUCAGUGGCUAAGCGAAAGUGAUAAGUAUCCCACCUGGGGAGUACGUUCGCAAGAAUGAAACUCAAAGGAAUUGACGGGGGCCCGCACAAGCGGUGGAGCAUGUGGUUUAAUUCGAUGAUACGCGAGGAACCUUACCAAGGCUUAAAUGUAGAUUGACCGGUUUGGAAACAGACUUUUCGCAAGACAAUUUACAAGGUGCUG
rnacentral:rRNA from 1 species